CACGUAGGGCGCAAGCGUUGUCCGGAAUUAUUGGGCGUAAAGAGCUCGUAGGCGGUCUGUUGCGUCCGCUGUGAAAACUCGGGGCUUAACCCCGAGCCUGCAGUGGAUACGGGCAGACUAGAGGUAGGUAGGGGAGAAUGGAAUUCCCCGUGUAGCGGUGAAAUGCGUAGAGAUUGGGAAGAACACCGGUGGCGAAAGCGCUCUGCUGGGCCGCAACUGACACUAAUGGACGAAAGCUAGGGGAGCGAAUGGG
rnacentral:rRNA from 1 species